UGUGAUUGUCGAACGGAGUCGAAGUGCGCGCGUGUGUAAUUUCCGUUUCGAGCUAGGUCCAGUGGAAAAGUCUGAUCGUUAAAAGAUUAAGUGUUAGUAACGAUUAAAAAAAGAUUACAAAGAAAAGGUGAAAAGACGAAUUUACUACAAACAAAAGAAUCGUCCACAACGCACAUGUUAAAACAAUAAGAAAAAGGU